rnacentral:rRNA from 1 species
UGCGUAGGCGGCAUGUCAAGCCAGAGGUGAAAGGCAUUGGCUCAACCAAUGUAAGCCUUUGGAACUGACACGCUUGAGUACAGGAGAGGUAAGUGGAAUUCCUAGUGUAGAGGUGAAAUUCGUAGAUAUCAGGAGGAACACCAGUGGCGAAGGCGACUACUGGACUGUAACUGACGCUGAGGCACGAAAGCGUGGGUAGCGAACA